rnacentral:rRNA from 2 species
UACGAAGGGGGCUAGCGUUGCUCGGAAUCACUGGGCGUAAAGGGCGCGUAGGCGGCGCCGCAAGUCGGGCGUGAAAUCCCCGGGCUCAACCCGGGGGCUGCGCCCGAGACUGCGGUGCUCGAGGGCGGGAGAGGCUCGCGGAAUUCCCAGUGUAGAGGUGAAAUUCGUAGAUAUUGGGAAGAACACCGGUGGCGAAGGCGGCGAGCUGGCCCGUUUCUGACGCUGAGGCGCGACAGCGUGGGGAGCAAACAGG